CUUAAACCUCAUGGUUUAUGCGUUGUCUCAAACGUUCCCGCACUUUAAAAUUACGGAUUGGAACAUUUCUAUAUAUGUGUGUGUGUGUGUGUGCCCGUACAUAUGCAUAUGUAUUUAUGGAGGUUGCAAAGUAGAGUUUCACUCAGCUAAAUUUUUAGUUAUCUAGUCUAGUAUGUAAUGCGAUUUGUUUAUCUUUUUAUAAUGCUUUAGCCUAAAAAUGAGUAUCUACCAAAAUUAUGGUGACUUUUGACUUGUGUACAACUAAAAUGUAGCAAUAUACAAAUGCAAAGAUAGUGGCAUAAUAAUUUUCCAUAGUUUAGCUUUAAGCAUAUAUUUAUAGACAAAGACAAAAAAAAAGAGAAUUUUUAAAUGAGAAAUUAUCAAUCAUAUACCCUUAAAUGACACCAGUAUCAAACGUGCUACAAUACUUUUUAAGUGUAUCACUCGAAUACCCUAAGUUGACAAAACACUUCUGCCGUCCACCAAUCCGUUAACUGCUGUUUGCGAGCGCUGACAUCAUAAGGGUAAUCUAGUCUUUUAAAAAAACUACAUGUCAUCCCAUUUACCAAGUAAAAAACGACAUGUCAUAUGAUAUAUUUUGAUAAAAAUGACAUGUCAUCCCAUUUUAUCGGAUAAUUGUUAAUAAUUGCUAAAAAAAAAAGCUACUUUACAACCGAAUCUACUCCUCCAAAAU
rnacentral:lncRNA from 1 species